AGCUAAGUUUGUUAUUGGUAUGAGCUUUCGUGUGCAUGCACACUUCUUCAGAUACACACGAAGUAUCUGAAGAAGUGUGCAUGUACACGAAAGCUCAUACCAAUAACAAACUUAGUUGG
rnacentral:miRNA from 1 species